UACGUAGGCAGCGAGCGUUGUUCGGAGUUACUGGGCGUAAAGGGUGUGUAGGCGGUUGUUUAAGUUUGGUGUGAAAUCUCCCGGCUCAACUGGGAGGGUGCGCCGAAUACUGAAUGACUUGGAGUGCGGGAGAGGAGAGUGGAAUUCCUGGUGUAGCGGUGGAAUGCGCAGAUAUCAGGAGGAACACCGGUGGCGAAGGCGGGCUCUGGGCAGUAACUGACGCUGAGGAGCGAAAGCGUGGGGAGCGAACAGG
rnacentral:rRNA from 1 species